CCUUAGGUCUCGACAGAGUUUGUGCCCGCGCCAGAUCCUCCGCCCCAACUACUGUAACCUCACCCCCCGCCACUGCCGGCUGUAGGGGAAGGGGAGCGAGGCCCGGGAAGCGGGGAGGUCGGGAGGACGAGCCCCGGCUCGCCCGCGGUUGCCGCGCCCCCCGCCCCCGGUCCUCCCGGCCGGCGCAGCCGAAUUCUGGGCGUGUAACCAUGAAGUCCCUUCCGGAGAAGACAAAAGGCCCUCGGGCAGGUGGGAGCGCGCACGCUCGUUGUUUCUUGUAGGCCACGGACAUUUCCCUGGGAUCGGUGGAGCCCAAUGCGAGGCUUGAACUCACGACCCUGAGAUCAAGACUUGAGCUGAGAUCAAAAGCUGACGAUUCACUGACUGCACCCCCCAGGCGCCCCUGUCUGUCUGGUUUCAGAUUAACAGCCAUCCAAGGAAUGGGAACAGAGGCCUGACUCAGUGUGGUCCCUGGAGCGAAGAGAAGGCAAUGUUGAAGCUCUCCACCAGGUCUAUGACGCUGAGGCUUUAGGGUUGGAAGAAUCACAGCUGAAGGAGGCCGGGUUACUGAAUCACUGAGUGGAGGAAAACCACCUGCUAACUAGGCACAGCUUCGCUGGAACAGUUAUGUGGGUGAAAAAGAAAACUGUGGAAUUUGGGGGUUUACUUGUUACAGCAUAACCCUAACAGAUAGAAUGGCAUUCUUUUGAGUGCUAGAAAUUUUGGCAGCACACUCAGAAAGAUUAAGUGGCGCACAUAAGAGUUACAGCACUGUGGCAUGUUCGAGUGAACCAGCUUCCGUCCCGAGACUCUGUUGGAGCCUCACGAGGCACAGUUCACCCAGGUCUGGUAGAUACUACACCUUUUUGUCUCUUCGUGUGUAUCAAGUUGUGCCUGUAGCACAGGGAAACUGCAUGCAGCCUAGCUCCACAUUCUGUUUGCCCAGAAACUGUUACUGGUGUGAAUCAUAGUUGUAGCAAAAGAACACUUCAUCUGUCAGUGAAGGAGCCCUGAGGAGUCACCGCGGUCCUCCAAAACCACAGAUGUAUGGCUGCCUGGCCAAGACGAGUUGCUGGCAAUCCAGAAAACAAAACAAAACAACAAACCCCCAAGUGUGGACACCCUCAACAGGGAAAUGUAAUUUAUUAAACCUUUUCCGUAGUUUUUGAACAUU